GGCAGCUGCCCAACUACAGCAUCCUCCUGCAAAACUUGACAUAUCUGUCCAUGGAGUCAGUGUCCAUUACUACAGAGCUUCAUAUUCCCUCCGUAAGAUAUCAUAGAACCAAGACAAGUUCGCCCCGCAAUUCAAUCUCUGCUAAGAAAACUUGAAAAUGACUUUAUUGAAUUGGAAAAUACAGUAGAGCCCACAUGGCCAAAACUAGUUGUGCCAUUGGAAAAGAUCAUAGACAGGCUAUCCGUAGUUUGGGGGAUAGUGAAACAUCUUAGUUCCGUCAAGGACUCUCCCAAGCUCCGGCGGCAAUCAAACAAGUUCAGCCCAAAAAAGUUGAGUUUCAGUUAAAAUUAGGACAGAGUAAGCCCAUCUACAAUGCAUUUAGAGCCAUUCGGGAUUCUUCGGAUUGGGAAACUUUGAGUGAUGUGCGCAAGCGAGUAGUAGAAUGUGAGUCCAUUUCAAGCUUUAAUUUUUUUCGGCCUAUGCAUUAGAGUAUAAAUUUUGCAUAUUGAGGAUUGGAGUUGCUGCAUGUCUGGCUAAAAAAAUUGUUUUAC